rnacentral:snoRNA from 1 species
UGGAUCAAUGAUGACCUCUGGUAGCAUAUGAGUCAUGAACGGUGACUAAGCUCUGAAAGUCUGAGGUCCAA